rnacentral:rRNA from 1 species
GACGAACGCUGACGGCGUGCCUAAUACAUGCAAGUAGGACGCAGUUGCUAAAGGGUGAGUAACGCGUAGGGAACUCCCUAUUAGAGGGGGAUAACUAUUGGAAACGAUAGCUAAUACCGACUACUAGGAGAUGGACCUGCUGUGUAUUUGCUAGUAGGUAGGGUAAUGGCCUACAUAGGAAACGAUACAUAGCAGAACUGAGAGGAGGAUCGGGCACCCUGGGACGGAUACACGGCCCAGACUCCUACGGGAGGCAGCCGUAGGGAAGCGUCGGCAAUGGGGGGAACCCUGACCGAGCAACGCCGCGUGAGUGAAGAAGGGUUUCGGAGCGUAAAGCGCUGUUGUUAAGGAAGCGGUACUUAACCAGAAAGGGACUGAUAACUCCGUGCCAGCAGCCGCGGUAAUAC